AUUGAACGCUGGCGGCAGGCCUAACACAUGCAAGUCGAGCGAGCGGCGGACGGGUGAGUAAUGCCUAGGAAUCUGCCUUGUAGUGGGGGAUAACGUCCGGACACGGGCGCUAAUACCGCAUACCAUCAGAUGUGCCCAGAUGGUAUUAGCUGGUUGGUGGGGUAACGGCUUAACAAGGCGACGAUCCCUAGCUGGUCUGAGAGGAUGACCAGCCACACUGGAACUGAGACACGGUCCAGACUCCUACGGGAGGCAGCAGUGGGGAAUAUUGCACAAUGGGCGCAAGCCUGAUGCAGCCAUGCCGCGUGAAUGAAGAAGGCCUUCGGAUUGUAAAGUACUUUCAUCGGGGAGGCGUUACCCGCAGAAGAAGCACCGGCUAACUCCGUGCCAGCAGCCGCGGUAAUUC
rnacentral:rRNA from 1 species